UACACUAAAUCAUAUAGCCCAUACCUAAAAAUUUUUACAACAACUAAAACAUUAUUAAAUUUAGUAAAGGUGAUUAAAAAUUAUUUUAUACGCUUUAAAAAGUACUGCAAAGGAAAAACAAAAUAAAAGAAAAGAAAAAAUAAAUCUUUGUACCUUUUGCAUCAUGGUUUAACUAGAUUUCAAUCACAUAUGUUUUUUCUCGAAAUCUAAUGAGCUAUCUUUGACCGCUGUCUUAGAGGUGAAAAGCUAGUUGUAGCAAUAACUUCUUUAGAGCCAAAGAUAGAAAUGAAAUUUUUUUCGCAUUAGGUGAUAGCUAGUUCUUCUAAAAGACAUAGAAGUGUCUUAAACUAAUUUUCUUAGUAAUCAAAACUACAACCCAAAUUUUAGUUUACAUAAAUUUUUGAGGAUAAGCUCGAAAAUUUCGUGACAUUUACAUUUUAUUUAUCCUUAAAUUUAAGCUUGAAAAUAGCUAUAAUUUUAGACUUUGUUAUAAUUUCAUUUAUUACAUAAAAAUAUAAUUAAUCUGUUAAAAAAGAAAGAAGAAAUUUCANNAACUANNAAACGGAUUCUACUCAUGUUCCAGGGAGUAUUUCUACACUCNAUAUUUAAAAAAUUUUACNAUUGGACNAGACNUGCCCCUCUUUCUAUUCAGUCAUCCUGUUUUAUCAAAAACAUGGCUCCCCUGUAAUAUAACAAAUNGGGNGUCGGACCUGCCCAGUGNAAUUUUUUAACGGCCGCGGUACUCUGACCGUGCAAAGGUAGCAUAAUCAUUUGCCUUAUAAUUGAAGGCUAGUAUGAAUGGUUUGACAAGAAUACAGCUGUCUCUUUAUGAAUAAACAGAAUUUUAUCUUAAGGUGAAGAAGCCUUAAUAAAAUUAAAAGACAAGAAGACCCUAUCGAGCUUUAAAGAAAUUAAAAGAUACUAAUUCAUAGAAAUAUAAAAAAUUAAUUUUAAAAAUUUUGGUUGGGGCGACCGGGGAACAAAAAAAGCUUCCUUUAAAACAAAAAACAUGCACGCAUUGACCCAGAAUUUCUGAUUAAAGAAAUUAGUUACCGUAGGGAUAACAGCAUUAUCCCCUUUAAGAGUUCCUAUCGAAAGGGGGGUUUGUGACCUCGAUGUUGGACCAGAAUAUCCUAAAGGUGCAGAAGCCUUUAAGGGUUGGUCUGUUCGACCAUUAAAAUUCUACGUGAUCUGAGUUCAGACCGGCGUAAGCCAGGUCAGUUUCUAUCUUUA
rnacentral:rRNA from 1 species